AUAAAUGCAUAGAAAAGAAGAGUAGUUUAGGAAUAUGUCUAAAGAGAGCUAGGAUUUGGUGAAAGCUAGCGUCAUUGAACUUUAUGAAGAUGGUCUUGGAGCAGAUUAUCUGAGUCUUAUGAUUAGGAUAAUACGGUAGCAACCGUUAUAUUGCACGGUGAUGAUAGUAACCUAGUGAGAUAUUUAUUGUGAGAUAAAUGUAAAAAUAGAGUGGUAACGCGUAUAUAACGCCUCUAUA
rnacentral:ncRNA from 1 species